CUGAGCUCUCCUUCUGUGUCCAGGGGUUCCUCUCUGUGUCUUGUUCUGUGCAUCUUUAAACCCAGGAGAAACAAACAGUUCCUCACCAACUAUCUACAGUGCAUCAUUAGUUAGACUAUUGGCAGUAGCAAAGCUCCAGGUGCUUAUCACUGACUUGGGACAGAGAAACAGAGAGAAAAGUGCUGUGUCCUCAGAAAGGCUGUUAAACUGCUAGCAUUUGGAAAAGCCCACUGCCAGUCGCAUGUCCUUGGAACUGACAGGCGUCCGCUGGAAGACACACCGGCCAUGGCCUCAGGGUGCAGAAGUGCUUAAGGACAGUGCACUGCUUCUUCAGUCGGCUGUGGCCAGAGAAGAAUACCCCCAAGCUGUCCACUCCGUCUCCAGAACCCGCGAAGAUAAUGCUGUAUGCUGCAGACAGGUGCAAUUACACCAAGGCCCGUGAGAUGCGGAGGGGGCCCUCAAAUGUCUCUCUUGGGAGCAGCUGGCCAGGACUUCUGUGGCGGGGCCCAGCUGAGAUCGUCCCCUGAUGGAGUCCACCAAGGGGUAACCAGAGUAUUCACAGAACAAACAGCAUGGCCUGUGGAACAUGGACAUUUCAUCUGCAGUGAACAAGCAUCAGAAUCUUAUUGAGGAAAGGGGAGAAGGAGACAAGUAAAAGUGGAAAGCACUUACAUUAGCACACGAAACUCUGUGAGACUUUGAGAGCAUAAAGUGAUAGUCCUAAAGCCAGAAACGUAAGGCUGUAUAAGGGUCAGAAGAGCUUAUCCCUGACUCUUACAGCAUUCCUGGAUAAGGACUCAUGGACCUCCCUAAGACUUCACUUCCAGGAAACCAUGCCAAGUAUCAGCAUCUGUAGCCUCCAGGCCAGCAUCUACUUUGGGGGCAGCUGCCCCAUAAAGAAUGGUAGUGAGGCAGGAGAUUAGGGUGGGGACAUGUCGGUCUGGCCCCUUCAUGGCAGAGAGGGAGCACCCACGGCAGAACACAGUUUUCAAGCCCUGCAGCUGGAACAAAUCAGAAAGUGCUAUCUUCAAUUAUUUUGGUAUGAAAUCAAGCAGGUUUUCGAUAGGAC
rnacentral:lncRNA from 1 species